CAGAAUAGCUUAUUUUAUCUUCUUGCUGUGUGCAGCAGCAAUGUCUGUCAUGGUGCUUUCCCAGUAGCCACAAAUUAAAGCAUGCCACUUAAGCAGAGUGAUCGUGUGAGUGUCACCCUCAGCACCUGAGGCUCAACCUGGUGUUUCUUCUCUGGCUGUUAGAGGACCCGAGGUUAUUACUGACAAGGUAGCUCAGACAAUAAAUAGAUACGAAUGUACCUUUUUCUACAUGCAACGAGAAAUUUUGAAAGGACCUAAACCACAGCUGAAGACAAAAGCAGGCUAAUGUAAUGAAUGGGAAAGAACCGUGAACAGCUCUGGGACUUGUGUGUAGAUUAUCUGUCUGGCAGGAUAUUCACUGGUCCUUUUGGUUUGUUUUCCUAUUAACUAAAGGCAAAGCUGAACAAUUACUUCCCUGCGUGUUGCUCUGUGCCUGCAUCGCGCUCCUGUCCCCACUGCACUCCCCUGGUGCUGGCAGCACGGGUGGUUAAUAUUAGCCACAUAGCUGAUUGUCCCGGUUGGUGCCCUGCAACAGCUGCGGGACGGCCGCCCGUGCUGGAAUCCCGCCCGGACCGAUGCUGGUGCUGGCACAAGCCCUUCCCAUUAUAUCAGGAAGGACCAUGUCCCGUUGCCACGAUGCGCCGGCACCCCAGGCUGGCCCCAGCUGUCUGCGGGACGUGGAGCAGGACGACAAGCACCCAGGGAGGCUGCUGCAGGAAGAAGCACACUGUGAUUGCUCUGAAGUGGGAAGACGGGAGGUUCCUGGAUGGGACUUACAGCUGUCUCUAUGAGGUACAUACACAUGCUUGUAAGCCUUUCAAUAAGGUCCUGUGCCAAAAAAGCGUGAAAAUCAGAACGAAAACCAAGAGGCUUUCCUUUAUUUGAAACAUGAUGAAGUUGUUUGAAAUACUUUGAUUUUGGUGCUCUGAACAUCCUUCUGGGAGGUGUCAACCUUUAGACACAUCUAUAAGAGCUCCACUGACUUCCUACUUGUAUUACCAACUUCCUUAUCUGAAGAAUAUGUUAUAAAAUUGAUCACAUAGGUGAGUAUAGAUCCACACCAAGUUUUUCUCCUACACUAUCUCACAUGUUCCUCCAGCCUUAAAUGGAGGUUACC
rnacentral:lncRNA from 1 species